UAACCUACGUAAUGGGAGAAAAUAUUGCAAAUCAUAUAUCUGAUCAGGGGCUAAUAUACAAAAUACAUCAAGAACUCAUGAAACUCAACAGCAAGAAAAAGAA